rnacentral:rRNA from 1 species
UACGUAGGCAGCGAGCGUUGUUCGGAAUUACUGGGCGUAAAGAGUGUGUAGGCGGUGCUCUAAGUUCGGUGUGAAAUCUCCUGGCUCAACUGGGAGGGUGCGCCGGAAACUGGAGUGCUUGAGCGUGGGAGAGGAAAGCGGAAUUCCUGGUGUAGCGGUGAAAUGACGUAGAUAUCGGGAGGAACACCUGUGGCGAAAGCGGCUCACUGGACCACAACUGACGCUGAGGCGCGAAAGCGUGGGGAGCGAACAGG